rnacentral:rRNA from 1 species
GCAUGGAUCUGCGGGAAAAGGAUUUAUUCGCUCUAGGAUGGACUCGCGUCCAAUUAGCUAGUUGGUGAGGUAACGGCCCACCAAGGCGACGAUUGGUAGCCGGACUGAGAGGUUGAACGGCCACAUUGGGACUGAGACACGGCCCAGACUCCUACGGGAGGCAGCAGUGGGGGAUAUUGCACAAUGGGGGAAACCCUGAUGCAGCGACGCCGCGUGGAGGAAGAAGGUUUUCGGAUUGUAAACUCCUGUCGUUAGGGACGAUAAUGACGGUACCUAACAAGAAAGCACCGGCUAACUACGUGCCAGCAGCCGCGGUAAAACGUAGGGUGCAAGCGUUGUCCGGAAUUACUGGGUGUAAAGGGAGCGCAGGCGGACCGGCAAGUUGGAAGUGAAAACUACGGGCUCAACCCAUAAAUUGCUUUCAAAACUGCUGGCCUUGAGUAGUGCAGAGGUAGGUGGAAUUCCCGGUGUAGCGGUGGAAUGCGUAGAUAUCGGGAGGAACACCAGUGGCGAAGGCGACCUACUGGGCACCAACUGACGCUGAGGCUCGAAAGCAUGGGUAGCAAACAGGAUUAGAUACCCUGGUAGUCCAUGCCGUAAACGAUGAUUACUAGGUGUUGGAGGAUUGACCCCUUCAGUG